rnacentral:rRNA from 1 species
UACGGAGGGUGCAAGCGUUAUCCGGAUUUACUGGGUUUAAAGGGUGUGUAGGCGGGCUUUUAAGUCAGUGGUGAAAUCUCCGGGCUCAACCCGGAAACUGCCAUUGAUACUAUUAGUCUUGAAUUUUGUUGAGGUAGGCGGAAUAAGUCAUGUAGCGGUGAAAUGCUUAGAUAUGACUUAGAACACCAAUUGCGAAGGCAGCUUGCUAAACAACGAUUGACGCUGAGGCACGAAAGCGUGGGGAUCAAACAGG